CUUUCUUUCUCUUUGUUUUUAUUAUUCAUCAUCUUCUUUGCUGGUAAAUGGAAACACUAGAAGAACUUGAUGGAAAAUCUGCAUGAACGAGGUUAUAAAAAAUGAAUCUGAGUGUUGUAAGUGUUUCUUAUCACCAUUAACAUAAUGUUGUUACUUCUUCCUUUCUUUUAUUUCAUCUUCUCUUUUCUUAAAAACUGAAUAUUAAGAAGAACACUUUGAAGAUGAAGAUCAGUGGGCUUUUAGAGAAAUGUUUUCUUUGAAUUUUUGUUAUCAUUCAAGUGGGUUGGUUUCAUAAACCGAUUAGAGAUAUUACUCCGUGUGGUUUUCAUCAAAUCUGAAAUUUUGUUGAGGUAAUCAGUUCCUCGUUCAACCUACUAUAGUGAAUCGCAACAAUCGGUUGGUUUGAUUUAUUACACUUAAUACGUGUUUUAAAUAAAUAUUGUACUAAAAUUUAUUCUUCAAAUUCGAGUAUUUUUGUAAACACGGAGAAGUUAGGGUUCAUACAAACCUAGAGUUUUUGUAAAAAUUGGGUGAUUAAACUUCAAUUUUUGUGAUAAUGAAAUAUGGGAUACCUUCUUUUUAUGUUUAUCAAGUCGAAUAAGGUAAGUUAGUAUGUUUGAAUGGUUAGUAAUGUUGGGUUUCUUUGAAUUAAAGCUUACUGUGUGCUAUUUGAAGAAGGUAUUUAUGCAUAACAUGUUUGUAGGAUUUCCUCUACGGAAUUCAUAGAUUGCUAUUAAAGCUUGCAACUACCUUAAGGUCUUCGUAAAGUUUCUCCCUAAUGAAUUCAAUGCAUCUCAAUGAUGGUUGGAGAUACCCGUAGAGAAAUCAGUAGAUGUUAAGGUCUUUGUAAUGCUUGCUAAUGUGUUGGUGGCAGUUGUAUAUCUUGUCCAUUUGCUAAGAAUGGAUGAGUCGUCGUUUAAAAUCUAGUAGACUAUCUACGUUUCUCAAGGGCUGUUGUAUGAGUUUUAUGACGGAUGGGUUGGUGGAGCAUCAGUGAAGGUAAGUCACUCCCGGACCACCAUUUAUUAGUGCUUGUAUUUGAGUAGAAAUGUUAUAGCUAAUCCGAAACUUUGCUUGGGUGAUGAAACCUUAGAAUUGAAUUGAUAUUUUGACGUUUAGAACUCAGGAAAUGUUGACACCAUAAAAUGAAAUCCAACCGUUAGAAUUAAGUGAAUUUUGGAUAUGUUAGGCUCGUAUAUGUCAGGAAGACUCGGUUAAAAUUUCAGGACGAUCGGACACGGGUAAGUGGCAGAAAGUUCUGUAUUACAGAGAACCGCACAACAUUCCUACCUUGUGUCCAAACUUAGUUCUUAUUUCAUCCUUUGGACUUGGAAUUUCACUGCCUUUGUUUGGUAAUUCUCACAUCUCUUGCUGCUUGUGUCAGGUCCUCUUAUAUAUAUAUUGCAAACACUUUGAAUUCCCAUAUCGGCAUGUUUCAACUGUUAUGGAAGUGGCACAGAUGGGUAUCGACUGUUGGAGUGUCAUGUGGGCUCAAUAUCUAUGUUCUCAUGUAAAUUUACUAGUAUGGUAAUACAGUAUCUCAUCCGCAUGGGUUAUGGAUUCAUGAGAAUCCCAUUUUUGAUCUCUUUUGCAUAUUCAUAUGUAUGUAUAUGACUCUCUCUUUCUGUGGUGUCUAAUGCUCAGGGGAUGAUUGUUCAUUCCCUGUUUGAGUGUAUCAUCAUUACUCAAUAGCUUGAUCUCUAGGGGGUUUGCAUAAAAUCCACUUGACGCCACUGAUGUCUAGAGACUUAGGAACUCAUUUAAAUUCUUUGAUUCUAUUUUGUACAUGUAUUCUUAGUUCCAUACUUGGGGAUGGUGUUCUAUCCAACUCUACCUGAUUUUACAUUGGGUGUCGUAGGCAGGUACGAUUGGAAGUAGAGACACUUUCUACUGCCUUCAUACUGUUGUUUUAUUUUCUAAAGUCACUAUGAAGUGUAUAAACUUGUCAACAUUUCGUGUUGUAGAUAAAUUUACGCGAAAAUGCACAGCAAGCAACAUGAAGACUUGACCACUUACUUACAUUAAUGUAUAUUUUAGCAAGGGGCAAGAUCAACGGAAAUUCCAAUUUAGUGGUAAAUUUGGUGGAUUUGUUGGUUAAUUUAGUAUAGGAAUUCUACGGUGGUUUCUUUGUAUUAUUUGUCGAGGUGAAAUUAAAUUUAUAAUUCGUGUUGCUUUGCAGGCUAUCGUAAAUCCACUAAAUUUGUAUAUUCUCAUUUUAUUUUAUGUCCCUCUUUAGAUGCAUGUUAGUCUUUAUUUAUGGGGUUGGCUAGCAGUUUCUGUUUAUUGGAACUUCUCAAUUUUUGUAGACUUUAUGCAUAUAGUGCGAAAAUUCUCGUAGUAUUUCGUUUUAGACUUCAGGUACUACUAUGAUAGAAUUUCGCAUGCCUUAAAAUCUCUGGAGUUGUAUUUCAUUUUAAUAUACUCUAUUUAGGAUUCAGAAACAAGAAAGUAUGGAGCCUUCUUAAUUUACUGUUUGUGUGAACAUUCAUUUUUCUCAAGCUGCUUACUUGUUGCUUAUAUAAUGUGUAUGAUGUGUAUGGAGUUCGAGACUAAUUUGUAAAGUGUUGGUCUUUACUUGCAUCUGAUUAAACUCUUAUCCUGUUAAAAAUGAUAAUGAUGGAGAAGUGGUAAGGUGGAGAUAGUUGUUGUUACGCAAAUUCAUAUUAUCUCUCAUAAGAGUUGAUUACUACAUAGGUAGUUCAUAUCAUCUGAUAAGAGAUAGUUACUAUCACCGUGCAUGCUAUCUAAACAAACGAUGGCGAACUACGGUCGUGCUUGAUCCCUUCGAGCAACGGAGAGGGUACGUUGGAAGCCGCUAUGCGGUUCAACACAACUCUACAAGGAUGUUUAUAUCAUCUGAAAGUCGUGGUUACCGAUUUGCAGUUCAUACCAUCUAUUCAGAGAUGAUUGCAACCUUGGCAAGUAUAUAUCAUGGGCAACUGACCAAUGAUGGCUGGUAACCAGAACUACCUUAAUUUAGCAACUGGUCGUCUGUUAUUUUGGGCAAUUGGCCCGUGGUAAUCUGGAAAAUGGCCGUCUGUUAUUAUUGGGCAAUUGGCCCGUGUCAAUUUGGCAACUGGCCGCCUGCUAUUUUGGGCAAUUUGCCCGUAUUAAUUUGGUAACUGGUCGUCUGUUAUUAUUGGGCAAUUGGCUUGUGUUAAUUUGGCAACUGGGCGUGUGUGAAUUUUGGUAACUGUCCGUCCGUGAAUUUUGGAUUAUGAAUGAACCAAAUUUUUACUUGAAUGGCGUAUUAGAGAGUCGGAGCUUGCCAUGCGGAUCGAACCCGACUCGUUGGAAGCAAAAAUUUUCUGGUUCGUCACAGGAUGGAUAACGACACCCCACUACAUAAGAUAAGGGUCACCCCAGAUUGAGUGCCCUAUAACACAGGUGGUCACCCCUUAAAUUCGUCUGGUUGUCUUGAAUGCUCCUCUAAGAGAGUUGCCCCUUAACCUUGAUUGGGAUUCCAAUAUCACUGGCUUAUGAAAUGACCUUUUGCCUUUUCA